rnacentral:misc_RNA from 1 species
GAUGAAGAACGUAGCGAAAUGCGAUAAGUAGUGUGAAUUGCAGAAUUCAGUGAAUCAUCGAAUCUUUGAACGCACAUUGCGCCCUUUGGUAUUCCAAAGGGCAUGCUUGUUCGAGCGUCAUUUGUACCCUCAAGCUUUGCUUGGUGUUGGGCGUCUUGUCUCUAGCUUUGCUGGAGACUCGCCUUAAAGUAAUUGGCAGCCGGCCUACUGGUUUCGGAGCGCAGCACAAGUCGCACUCUCUAUCAGCAAAGGUCUAGCAUCCAUUAAGCCUUUUUUUCAACUUUUGACCUCGGAUCAGGUAGGGAUACCCGCUGAACUUAAGCAUAUCAAUAAGCGGAGGA